rnacentral:RNase_P_RNA from 1 species
ACACAGAGCAGCAUAUUUUCUAACGGAAAGCCGGGGGUGACCCCGGGGAUAAGUGACAGAAAACAACCGCCCCUCUGCUUAUCGCCGCUGAGGUGAAGGGCAGAGCAGGUAAGGGUGAAAAGGUGGGGUAAGAGCCCACCGGUCUUCCGGGCGACCGGAGGAGCCGCACAUCCUAUGCGUUGCAAGGUCAAAUACACCGGCAGUCAAGAAUGGCUCGUUCGUUGUCGGGGGGUAGACCGCUAAAGUAGGCGGGCAACCGUCUCACUCAGAUAAAUGACCGUCAGUCUGUAAAAUAUUGUGUUUUCAGACCACAUAACCCGGCUUAUAGUCUUUCUCCCUCC